rnacentral:rRNA from 1 species
GACGAAAGUCUGACGGAGCAACGCCGCGUGAGUGAUGAAGGUUUUCGGAUCGUAAAACUCUGUUGUUAGGGAAGAACAAGUACCGUUCGAAUAGGGCGGUACCUUGACGGUACCUAACCAGAAAGCCACGGCUAACUACGUGCCAGCAGCCGCGGUAAUACGUAGGUGGCAAGCGUUGUCCGGAAUCAUUGGGCGUAAAGCGCGCGCAGGUGGUUCCUUAAGUCUGAUGUGAAAGCCCCCGGCUCAACCGGGGAGGGUCAUUGGAAACUGGGGAACUUGAGUGCAGAAGAGGAAAGUGGAAUUCCACGUGUAGCGGUGAAAUGCGUAGAGAUGUGGAGGAACACCAGUGGCGAAGGCGACUUUCUGGUCUGUAACUGACACUGAGGCGCGAAAGCGUGGGGAGCGAACAGGAUUAGAUACCCUGGUAGUCCACGCCGUAAACGAUGAGUGCUAAGUGUUAGGGGGUUUCCGCCCCUUAGUGCUGCAGCAAACGCAUUAAGCACUCCGCCUGGGGAGUAC